UACGGAGGGUGCAAGCGUUAUCCGGAUUCACUGGGUUUAAAGGGUGCGUAGGCGGGUAUAUAAGUCAGUGGUGAAAGCUCCGGGCUUAACUUGGAAACUGCCAUUGAUACUGUAUAUCUUGAAUGUCGUUGAGGUAAGCGGAAUGUUGCAUGUAGCGGUGAAAUGCUUAGAUAUGUUACAGAACACCAAUUGCGAAGGCAGCUUACUAAGCGAUGAUUGACGCUGAGGCACGAAAGCGUGGGGAGCAAACAGG
rnacentral:rRNA from 1 species